rnacentral:rRNA from 1 species
CUGUAGAUGAUAUGGACUACCAGUGCAUGUGUGAUACAGUCUCUAAGAGUCGAGUUGUUUGGGAAUGCAGCUCAAAGCGGGUGGUAAAUUCCAUCUAAGGCUAAAUAUAAGUGAGAGACCGAUAGCAAACAAGUACCGUGAGGGAAAGAUGAAAAGAACUUUGAAAAUAGAGUUAACAGUACGUGAAAUUGCUGAAAGGGAAACGUUUAAAGUUAGUUUUGUUGUCGUUAGUUCAGCUUCGCAAGGAGUGUAUUCUAAUGAUCAUCAAGCCAGCAUCAAUUUUGGGUAUGGGAUAAGGGUUUUGAGAACGUAGCAAACAAGUUGUGUUAUAGCUUGAAACUUGGAUACCAUGCUUGAGAUUGAGGAUCCUGUGGUGAGCUUAGUGCAGACUUAUUUAUAGGUCUUCUUGCCAUGGAUGUUGGUGAAAUAACUUGAAGCGACCCGUCUUGAAACACGGACCAAGGAGUCUAACAUGCAUGCGAGUAUUAGGGUGUUGAAACCCGAAUGCGAAAUGAAGGUGAUGGCAAGAUGUGAUCUGCAAGGUGCAACAUCGACCGGUCCUGAUUAUUUAUAUAAAGGUACUGAGUAAGAGCAUGUAUGUUAGGACCCGAAAGAUGGUGAACUAUGCCUGGAUAGAGUGAAGUCAGAGGAAACUCUGAUGGAAGCUCGUAGCGGUUCUGACGUGCA